GUAACGGGGCUAAACCAUGCACCGAAGCUGCGGCAGCGACACCGUGUGUUGUUGGGUAGGGGAGCGUUCUGUAAGCCUGUGAAGGUGUGCUGUGAGGCAUGCUGGAGGUAUCAGAAGUGCGAAUGCUGACAUAAGUAACGAUAAAGCGGGUGAAAAGCCCGCUCGCCGGAAGACCAAGGGUUCCUGUCCAACGUUAAUCGGGGCAGGGUGAGUCGACCCCUAAGGCGAGGCCGAAAGGCGUAGUCGAUGGGAAACGGGUUAAUAUUCCCGUACUUGGUGUUACUGCGAAGGGGGGACGGAGAAGGCUAUGUUGGCCGGGCGACGGUUGUCCCGGUUUAAGCGUGUAGGUAUGUGUUCCAGGUAAAUCCGGUUCACUUUAACACUGAGGCGUGACGACGAGGCACUACGGUGCUGAAGCAACAAAUGCCCUGCUUCCAGGAAAAGCCUCUAAGCAUCAGGUAACAUCAAAUCGUACCCCAAACCGACACAGGUGGUCAGGUAGAGAAUACCAAGGCGCUUGAGAGAACUCGGGUGAAGGAACUAGGCAAAAUGGUGCCGUAACUUCGGGAGAAGGCACGCUGACACGUAGGUGAAGUGAUUUACUCACGGAGCUGAAGUCAGCCGAAGAUACCAGCUGGCUGCAACUGUUUAUUAAAAACACAGCACUGUGCAAACACGAAAGUGGACGUAUACGGUGUGACGCCUGCCCGGUGCCGGAAGGUUAAUUGAUGGGGUCAGCGCAAGCGAAGCUCCUGAUCGAAGCCCCGGUAAACGGCGGCCGUAACUAUAACGGUCCUAAGGUAGCGAAAUUCCUUGUCGGGUAAGUUCCGACCUGCACGAAUGGCGUAAUGAUGGCCAGGCUGUCUCCACCCGAGACUCAGUGAAAUUGAACUCGCUGUGAAGAUGCAGUGUACCCGCGGCAAGACGGAAAGACCCCGUGAACCUUUACUAUAGCUUGACACUGAACAUUGAGCCUUGAUGUGUAGGAUAGGUGGGAGGCUUUGAAGUGUGGACGCCAGUCUGCAUGGAGCCGACCUUGAAAUACCACCCUUUAAUGUUUGAUGUUCUAACGUGGACCCGUGAUCCGGGUUGCGGACAGUGUCUGGUGGGUAGUUUGACUGGGGCGGUCUCCUCCUAAAGAGUAACGGAGGAGCACGAAGGUUGGCUAAUCCUGGUCGGACAUCAGGAGGUUAGUGCAAUGGCAUAAGCCAGCUUGACUGCGAGCGUGACGGCGCGAGCAGGUGCGAAAGCAGGUCAUAGUGAUCCGGUGGUUCUGAAUGGAAGGGCCAUCGCUCAACGGAUAAAAGGUACUCCGGGGAUAACAGGCUGAUACCGCCCAAGAGUUCAUAUCGACGGCGGUGUUUGGCACCUCGAUGUCGGCUCAUCACAUCCUGGGGCUGAAGUAGGUCCCAAGGGUAUGGCUGUUCGCCAUUUAAAGUGGUACGCGAGCUGGGUUUAGAACGUCGUGAGACAGUUCGGUCCCUAUCUGCCGUGGGCGCUGGAGAACUGAGGGGGGCUGCUCCUAGUACGAGAGGACCGGAGUGGACGCAUCACUGGUGUUCGGGUUGUCAUGCCAAUGGCACUGCCCGGUAGCUAAAUGCGGAAGAGAUAAGUGCUGAAAGCAUCUAAGCACGAAACUUGCCCCGAGAUGAGUUCUCCCUGAGACUUUAGGUCUCCUGAAGGAACGUUGAAGACGACGACGUUGAUAGGCCGGGUGUGUAAGCGCAGCGAUGCGUUGAGCUAACCGGUACUAAUGAACCGUGAGGCUUAACCUUACAACGCCGAAG
rnacentral:rRNA from 1 species